rnacentral:rRNA from 1 species
CCUACGGGAGGCAGCAGUGGGGAAUAUUGGACAAUGGGCGAAAGCCUGAUCCAGCAAUGCCGCGUGAGUGAUGAAGGCCUUAGGGUUGUAAAGCUCUUUUACCAGGGAUGAUAAUGACAGUACCUGGAGAAUAAGCUCCGGCUAACUCCGUGCCAGCAGCCGCGGUAAUACGGAGGGAGCUAGCGUUGUUCGGAAUUACUGGGCGUAAAGCGCACGUAGGCGGUUACUCAAGUCAGAGGUGAAAGCCCGGGGCUCAACCCCGGAACUGCCUUUGAAACUAGGUAACUAGAAUCUUGGAGAGGUCAGUGGAAUUCCGAGUGUAGAGGUGAAAGUCGUAGAUAUUCGGAAGAAAACCAGUGGCGAGGGCGACUGACUGGACAAGUAUUGACGCUGAGGUGCGAAAGCGUGGGGAGCAAACAGGAUUAGAUACCCUAGUAGUCCU